rnacentral:rRNA from 1 species
UACGUAGGGUGCGAGCGUUAAUCGGAAUUACUGGGCGUAAAGGGCGCGUAGGCGGCCUGUUAAGUCGAACGUGAAAUCCCCGGGCUCAACCCGGGAACUGCGUCCGAUACUGGCAGGCUUGAAUCCGGGAGAGGGAUGCGGAAUUCCAGGUGUAGCGGUGAAAUGCGUAGAUAUCUGGGGGAACACCGGUGGCGAAGGCGGCAUCCUGGACCGGUAUUGACGCUGAGGCGCGAAAGCCAGGGGAGCAAACGGG